UGCAUCCAGCAGGUGAGGCGAAGGCAAGGCCAGGCCUAGUCUACUUGGCCUAGUCUCAUUUUCCUCACACAGGCCAACUUCUGGGACCCAGGAAGCCCAGCGCCGGGUCCCAAACCACCUCUCAGAGGAUUUUCCACCUUAAUACAGUUUAAAAUGGGGUCUGAGAACUGGCAUGCAGAUUGUUCUUCACAUUUCUGGUUCGGUGAUCCGAUGAAGAAGAGGAAGAGAAGAAAUGGGCUGGGAUGUGCCCAGGCAGACUCGCCUACUUGGAGAACGGCUUAAUGCCAAAAGAUCCCCCAGCACAUGGUCUCUGGGGGCUCUGAAAGAGUCAGCCAACAGACUGCUACAAGUGAAGAAGGAAUCUACUGGGGGUUGUGAAAUGGAGCUGAUUAACGGGACUUUUCAAUGUU